GCAAGUUUGGAUGGUGGUUUAUGAAUAGAUUUCAGCACAAUUCAGCAAGCCCACCACCAAACAUUAGUUUGGUUGUCUGUAAUGGUAUUACGGGCCUGAAUUGAUUUAAGGUUUAUUCUCUUCUCUCAUCAUUGAACCGUCAUUCAACUCGUGGAGUAAGGAUUUUUUUUCCCAAUUUCAAUUUUUUCCCUCACCUCUGCCGAAAGAAUGAAGAAACUGUAACUUUCUUUUCUUCCCAUCUCUACGUUUCCUUUUUUUCCCUUUGAUUACAAAGGAGACCUAGGGAAGCCAUCAUUCUUUUAAGCCAAUAAAAUCCUUUGAUUGCAGAGUUGCAACCCUUUUUUUCAUUUUUCAUUUUUACUUUUUCACUGCAUUUCUGAUUUCAUUGCUUUGAUUUCACAAAUGCUAGAAAGAUAACAAGGUGAUUUGUUUUAGGUGAAGAUGAAAGACUGGGAGGAUGAGAUUCCACCUCUGCUUGCAAAGGAACAACUUAAAAGCAAAUGGGAUGAUGAAGAUAUUGAUGACUCUGAUAUCAAGAAAUCAUGGGAGGAUGAAGAUGAACUUGCUUCGCCUCCAGUAUAAUGGGCUUCAUUGUAACUUGUAUUAGCUUGUAGAAGAAGCCGAUUAUAAAUCAACGACUGAACUAUUUUCCAAGAAAGGUGAUGAUAAGACUUUAGAUAAUUAUAUUCCCAAAUUUGAAAGUGACUUUGUGGAGUAUGCUGAGCAUAUUUCUACCAAGCUUCGCCCAUAUGAGAAAAGUUAUCACUAUAUUGCACUAAUCAAGGCCGUGAUGAGACUAUCAUUGACUUCUUUGGAAGCAGCUGAUGUCAAAGGGUUUUGGCAUGAUGCAGAGACUAAGAGGAUUGAAGACCAGGGGGAGUAUGGAAAGUGAUUCAGAUUGAAGGCCAUGGGGGGUAUGGAAAGUGAUUCAGAUUCAAAUUGAAGAUACAUCAAUGGCAGCUAUUCAGAUUGGAUAGGGGUCAUCUUGCUGGGGUUUGUUUGGUGUAUAGAUUGUUUGAUAUAUUUCAUGCAUAUAAAAAUGAGAAUAAUUAUUGUUUUUGGAUCAAUAUUUGUAAUUUUGGCAACUAUGAUCCCAUGAGAUUAUGUUAUAAUUUUUAUUAAA